GGAGAACCCCCACUUGCGCGGUAACACAAUCACAACCAGAGCUUCAGUUCAGAAAAUAAGACAUCCACUCCCAAUAGAUUUUAAGUUUCGCUGUCUAUCUUGCCAUCUCUUCUCUGAGCCUCUUGGGACUCUGUCAUGAGCAGCCUGGACUCUUGCAGACCUGUGCUUCUGUAUCUCCGUGGACCGAGAACACAAUUGUUAAAAGAUUAAAAUAAUAGCAGCCCUGGCUGAGUGAGCUGAGAAGUUUUGUUCUUAUUUCGACAAAUUGAAAUCUGACAAGAAUGGAUAUGGGAGAAGACAGAGAGCCAGCAAGAUAGAAUGAGUUUGUGAUCGUAAAAGGUUGCCUUUUCUGCCUGCAGGACUUCAACCAGCACUGCUAACCAAGGGCUUAGAAAGAGUUUGAUCUACAGGCAUGGGAUCCCACACAAAAUUUCACUGGACCAAGACACCCAUUAUACAGCAAAGGAGAUUCCCCCAGGAAAAGAAACCAAACAGAAUACUGGAGGAGUUUCUCCUAGAGUUUAUAAUACGAAGGAAGUGGAUCCAAGUGGAGUAAGGAGUUGUCCACAGAGGAUACCAUGGUGUGCCACCCAGAUCCCCCUCCAGCUCUUCGAACUUGUGACUUCAACUUUUCCAACACCGGGCUAUUUUCUCUGGACGCAGGCUUGUACAUUUCAGGAGAAAUGUGCAGACAUAGACCUCAGCAUCCAUGGCCCUGCAUUGGGAUCCCCUUCAGACCAACAAAAACUAGCUUUUAUCUGACUUCAUUAGGAAAGAGUAAACAAACUUGAGGAUAUUUGGAAGUCUUUUCAAGAGUCAGAAAUACUUUAAUAACCCUCCAAACUGCUACUGACAUUUUAAAAUUAGAUUAUGCAAAGAACUUCAUCUCUGGGAUGUGGAAUUACCUACUGCCAAAAAUAACUCAGUGGAGACCUGGAAUCUUUUUCCAAUUCUGAGAGAAGCGACGUUAGUGGGAUUAGUUAACAGACCAGAAUCUGCAUUUUCAGCAAAGACAGCAUAUGUGAUUAAUGGAAUAUUUGGAAACAGACACCGCCUGACUUAGGAUGGCUUAACUUGAGAAGUGCUGUCUUUAUAGGCUUAUCAUAAGCAGCACUUUCAUCAUAACGAACAAACUUUGUAUUGAUGAAUACUUAACAGCUGAAGCUGAUGUGCUUUUAAAUAGACUUAAGUCAAUGUAAAUAGUGAUAAAACAACGUGGUGUGCUGAUUUGAAAGGUGAGAAAACUUCUCAUGAUAUGAAUUCAUGAUUAGCUAAAGAGCAUGCUUCUGAACUAAGCCAUAAAUUCUUAGCUUAUCGAUAAGGCAUUAAUUGUCACUUUUUUUUUAGGUGAGAAAGAUUGGCUCUGAGCUAUCAUCUAUUGCCAAUCUUCCUCUUUUUGGUUGAGGAAGAUUGGUGUUGAGCUAAUCACCAUGCCAAUCUUCCUCUGUUUUGUAUGUGGGAUGCCACCACAGUAUGGCUUGAUGAGUGGUGUGUAGGUCCACGCCUGGGUUUCAAACCUGUGAACCCCGGGCCACCAAAGUGGAACAUGCGAGUCUAACCACUGCACCACUGGGCUGGCUCCUGAUUGUCACUUUUUAAAACUCUUAUGAACAGAGCUGGGGAACCAUCAGGAAAAGGUGGUAAGUGGAGUAAGGGAUGGUUUAAUCAUUCAGAAAGAUAACUGCCGGCAAAUUUCAGAUUUCAGAGAAAGCUGGAAGGGCUGACAUAAAGACAUGGAAGGCUUCUCUGGAGAAGUUCGCUGAAGUCUUGGAAGAUGAAGGCUACUGUUUAAGACGGGUGUUUCAUGUUUUUGAAAAGGGAGCAGGAGAUCACUGUAAGAGAGGUCACCUUUGAAACUCCUCCUUUAGAAUUGACCAUUUGCACUCAUUAACUCAUCAAUGGAAAAUUUUGCCCCAAGUGAACAAAAUAUUGAACAUUUCCAGGGUCCUCGGAGCAAUGAAGAUGGCUGAUUCUGAUGACUAAGAAACUUACCAGGAGAAGAAAGCAUUUUCAGUUCACAUUUCACUGGACUCAUGUUUUCAGGAACCAAACCCUUAGCCUAUGCUCACUUCCACCCCCAGAUAUUUUCAAAUAUAGAUUUAUAUUAUGUGUUUGGUUUUAUAUAUUAAAUAUAUGUUUAUCAAAGACUGUAUCCAAAGUGAGGGGAUUUUCUUUUCAUGAUUAUUUGCAUUUUAAUUACAUGAAAUGGAUUUUCAGGAACAAAACUCCAAUUCAAGAGUCAACUAUGGAACUCUCUUACCUGUCAUCCAGAAACUUUAUUAUAAAUCAUUCGUCAACAAUAUCUGUGUUUCUAAUUCUAGUUUAUCGUUUCUUCUGAGGCACAGAGAAAUGAAAUGAAGAGAUGGGGUUCAGAGUUAUUGAACACUAUGCCUAGAGGAUCUUAUUCAGUCUUUAUGAACACCACUGCCCAGUAGGUAUUAUCAACUAUACUUGUUUAGGUGAGGACUCUGAGGCUCCAGGAGCUUGAGUGAUGGGCCCAGGGUUAUUAAAGUUAGUAAUUGGCAGAACUGAGACUUAAGUGCAAGCUUAUUUUCAUAUGCUGUUAUUGCCAAUAAUCUAUCCUACAAGAAGAUAAAAAUAUGGCAUUAAAUUAUUAAUUUUAAAGUAACCAUUGUGACAUUUACUUCUUUUUAUCCCAAAAUAUGCCUCGCUCAGUGGUGGGCACACAGUAGUGUCCAACAGCGGUAGGUCAAGAAACGGACACAGGAUGCUAUUUGGAACUGAGCACCCAGGCUCCGGAUCCGAAACCCGGGCUCAGUUCCUGGAUUCACCGUUAUCCGAAUAUGUACCCUGUGGCAAGUCAGUUUCCUCGUAUGGUAAAAUGGGGAUAAGAAUAUCCAUCUUUUAGGGUGGAUGUGAGGAUUAAUUGGGUUGAUGCUAGUAAGUCACUUAGAGUAGUGUCUGGUACAUCAUAAGUUCUCAGCGAGUAUUAGACAGAUUCUACCACAUUGUAACUGUGUGAACUUGGGCGUGCCUCAGUUUCCUCAUCUGUAAAAUAUGGCAAAAUAAUUUAUCGUGCAUGGCGAUUUUAUUUGGCAAGCAUGUACUUUUAUAGUCUUUGCUCUGUGCUCUGCCCUGUGCAGGUAUUAACUCUAACUUUCAUAGGAGCCUAAUGAGGCAGAUACCAUUCCUAUCCUCAUUUACAGAUGAAGCAACUGAGGAACUGGGAGGUUAAAUAUUUCUUUCAAGGUAACACAACUGGUAAUUAACUGAGUUGAGAUUCAAACCUAGACACUCUAGCUCCGGAGUCUGAGUUUGUACUGAUUACUCUGUGCUACGGAUGCAGUGAAACAAUAUUUGUAAAGCAUCUGUCGAAUUCCUGACACAUAGCAGAAGCUUAGUAGAUGUCAGCUCCUCUCCCAUCUUCUCAUUAAAUAUCUUUAGAAAUUCUCAUGGAAUGCAAAAUGAUAUGAAUUUAUCAGCUGGCCUACGUGUUUUCCUAAAAUAUCCAAGUUUGUGUAAUAGCAGCAUCCCUGAGUUCUUUAGGGGUGCCCAGAAAUAUGCGAACAUACCUCUCUCUGAUUAGGCCCAUCUCGGAUCAUCUUUUCUGUUGACACGUUGGAGUUCCCGGAAGCCAGACAUCAGGAUGCACUGCGGUGUGUGCCGUGAUACCCUGUAGAGCAGCUGUCAGGGAUGACAGUCUGGAGCAGAACAGCUGGAGGGCAGAGCUGAUGCUUCUAAUGACUGAGAACAAGUAAUGGAGAUGAGGCAGCCAAAGGAGUGGUGUCUGACUGCGGCGCGCACCACCCCAUGCUGUUGUGCAGAGCUCCUUGAUGAGGACGCUGUAAGAAUUCUAGAUGGGACAAUUCUGUGCUGUGCGGGACUGUCCUGAUAGAAUCAAUCUGAGUUAUUUCAUACAUUGUAGGAUUUGUAGCAUCCUUGACUCCCAGAUACUGAAUGCUAGUAACUCCACCUAGCAACAACUAAAAAUCAAAACCGGAAUAUGUUGCCCGGGGGUAAGAGAUGGUGUUAUCACCUCUAUUGAAAACUGCUCCCUGUCUGGCCUUUGGGGUUUACCUGGGAUUAUGAGCAGACGGCUUCAUUAUCUAUUGCCUUCUGCUCAAAAUCAGGGGGCAGCCAGGAACACCUAGCAUCAGUGCCACCUGGGAGCUGAUUACAAAUGCAGAAUCUUAGGUCCCAUCCCCAACCUCUGGAUCAGCAUCUGCAUUUUAACAAGAUCCCCAGUGAUUUGCACACAGAUUAUGGUUUGAGAAACAUUGUCUUACUAGAUGGAACAUGGACUUUGGAGUAAGAAGAUCCAGGGUUGAAAUUGAGACUCUGCCUCUUACUAGCUGUGUGACCAUGGGAAGAUCACUUAACCUUUCUGAGCCUCAGUUUCUUCAUCUCUAAAAAGAUUUUAAUACUUUCCCCAUGCUGUAGGCAUACAAUAAGCACUCAAUAAAUAUCAUUUCCCUUCUCCCCGAUCCCUUCCACCAGGGAACACAGUCAGGAAAACCAGUUUAGUUCUUUGGUGAUCAUUAGUGAAUUAUUAUCAUAGGAUAUUGUGGCAAGAUGAAGAGAAGAUGAUGUUCAUUCUCUCCCUCUGUCUCCUCUUUCCUCACUCUGCUGCGUUCUUCCAUAGUUAUAGACACAGUACUUAUCAAGUUCUAGCCAGGGCAUCGCUGGGCCAUGACAAACACUGGAAGAGUGGGCUGGUUGGGUGUGACCAGGAAUGGGAGAGUACAGCUCUCCCGGUUCAAACAGGUUAGUUCAGUGGAACAAAUUACAUUUCCAAGGUAAGAUUUGGGACUGCCGGCAAAGGCUGGACUGGAAGGGAAGAGUCUAGAGGUCACGAUCAGGUCCAGGGAGUUGAUUGGGCAGAGGGUGGGGGAAUAGGAUCAGAGAGAUGUCUGGGACCAAGGAAGAUGGAAAUAAGCCUGUCAGGACACUUUCAGAUGCUUUCUCUACAUCCUCUUCUGUGCUCCCAGUGUGCCCUGCACGUGACUCCACCAGGGUACCCAUCACUCUGGACGGAAACACAGAUCUGACUUUUUUAUUAUUAGAUUGAAAGGAUUUUGAGGAUGAAUAUUAUCUUACAGAUUGUCUCCUGUUUCACUUGUUUAUAUAUCUAGGAUGUAUAAACGGGUACUGUCUGCAAUGAUGAAAGAGUGAACAAAGUUGUGCCUCCAGUGCUACAAUCCCAUCGCAGUGCAUUCCUUACAGGAACCCACGGGGCCUUUAACAGAGCCAACAGUGAGGCGCUCCCUGAGCAAACGCAUCCUCGUUGGUCUCCAAUCCUACAAGCCUCUGUCAGGGAGCAGCCUGGGUGUCCCACUGCCCCUCUCUUCUCACUGCUAGUGUCCUAUGCAUAGAGAAGGAACCCACGGGAAAGGACGGAGAGUUGGCAGAAUCUCUACCCACCAGGUCUCCUUUGCUCACGGUUUUGACUGUGGUUGGAUUGAGAGCCUGUUACUUUGCAGGGAACCAGCUGCCUCAGUUUCCAGGAGCUCAGAGAGGCUAGGAAAGAUUGAUUGUGCCUUUCUUUACUGGAGAGCUACCUGCUGGCCCCAUGGGAUGGCUCAGGAAGUCAGUCCCGAAGAAGUUAGCUCAGGGAUUUACCUGGACUCUGAUGGGAGGGUGGAAACCGGCCUACGGGAGACAGGCAUAAAAUGCAGCCUCUCCACUCUGGAGAUGAGGCCAUGCCCCCGAGUAGAGCUGCUUAAUGAGCUUGGCUGCUUUCCAGAAAUGGAUGUUCAGGAGGAGAGGGCACAACCCCUCCAUCAGGCCCGGGCCUCAGGACCUGAGAUUAGUUGCCACUGAGGAUUACUCAUCCUGUGACAGUUAAAUGUGUUUGAUUUCAUUGCAGAUCAGCUCCACAGCUUAUUAUCAUGCUCAGCAAAACUGUCUGCGGCCCGGAAUUUCCUCACGGGAGGGGAAGGAUGGGGGACUUGCUGGGUGUGGAGGGAGGAAUGGCCUGUGGACCUUCUAUGUUGAAAGUGGAUAAAUCAAAGGAAACCUGGCUCUUACUCUCUCCCACUCUUCCUAGCAGAUCUUUUGUCUAAUUCUGGCUUUCUGAAGAAUGCAUCGUUCUCCUCAGAAGACCCCAAGCAGAGAUGGGCAGAGAUGGGAGGCAUUGGGGGGUGGAUGAGGGUGGGGAGAGACCCAGGGCUCCACCUGAAGCAAGCUAAGUGCUGAGAAUGGUUUUGAGCCCCUUCUCUACACUCACCCGGCACACUUUUCUAUUUCUCUUUGCGGGGGGCUGGAGGGAUGGGCAGGACAGAGGAAAGAGCAAUGAAAGUAGGGAGUCUUUGCCACUUUAUUUACAAUGUGAGCUGUUUCCUCUCUCUUUUUCUUUUGUUCAUUUCUUUGCUCUUUUUAAAUUUUUCAAAUGGUAGAAACAGUAUCCAGCUCAGUAGCUCCCUUUCUCUUUUCCAGUCCCCAAAUUUUACUCACAUUUUGAAGGAAGGUUUGAGUCAUGCUGCCAUGUAAAGAACAUGGCCAGGUGAGAUGUUGACUGAGGACGAAGAGAACAUGCAACGGCUGGUGGAAGAAGAAAGUUAUAAAUACCAACAUGGGCACGUGACUAAUUGCAGAAAGGAAGUCUUCAUAACUACGCACAAUCUCUUCUUUGCUUUGAGAUAUAUAUAUAUAUAUAUAUAUAUAUAUUAAUCAGCUCUUUUUCUCUCCUUCCUCAUUCCCCCUCUAGCCAAUAUAAAGUGUUAGCCCUAGAAUUUGGCAUUUAGGUCAUAGGAUAUCAAAGGAAGAUUGCAUCUGAACUAAGAAAGAAGUGAACAUUCCCAGAGAUAAAGCAACUAUGGGAUACUGUGUGUUUCUUUUAGGGGGUAAGGGGGCAUCUUCAGUUGUGUAAGGGACAGUCACAUCAUGUCAGGAAUAAUGUGAUGUUGUUACUGUCCUUUUUGGGAAGUUCUAAUCUGGGGUAAGAAGCGUGGACUGUGCUCAUUUGUUUAUUUUCAGCUCAGCAUCCCUCCACCCUUUUCUAAGAUCUCCUUUUCAACACGGAGGGGAAGCCAGGAACCGCGUCUCUUGCAGGAGGGGAAGCCAGGAACCGCGUCUCUUGCAGUUCCCUUUCCUGUAUGGCUCUGGCUAGAGCUUGUUCACGAGAGGUUCUUGGGCGAGAUCUGCACAAUGGAGAAAAGGCAAAGCCAUUCUCGAAAACUGUCUCCGUCAGGGAUGGAGGCAGCUGUGGCUUCCCAGUGAGCUCUCGAGGACCCCCGCCUCACUGCCGCAGCCCGAGAGGGUGGCAGCUUCCCAGAGACCCAAGAAUCUCAGCACUUACCUGCUGGUGGCUCCUCUAACCUUUAUUCUUGCCGUUGUUACAAUGUUUGUAAGACAGUAAUAAAUGGAGAAGUGCUUUCUGUUUUCCCCGUUCAGGCUGUGUUCUGGCACUGGGGCUGGGGGUGGGCAUUUGUCUCACACCACUUGACAACACCUGGCUUCUGAUUGAUUUGAACUUUUCAACACUCUGCCUGGCAACGUUUGCUGUGAAUUCUGUCCAAGUGCCAAGGCAGACGUGGCUAGUGAGAGAACAAGACAGUGGUCUGGACUGCCUCACCACCGCUGUUGUGUGGAUCUGGUGACAAGGGAAAGGUCAGCCUGGAGUCCCCUGCUGUUGAGUUGAUGGCUGUCAGGUGGGUGACCUUGGCUGGAAGUGUCAGAAUCUAGAUAGAGGCAGCUCAGAGCCUACCAGGCUGGCUGCCCUAAGGGCGGGCCCCUUUGGCCACUCCAGAAACCUUCCUUCAGGGAGGGACCUUGCUUCUGCGGUGGGUACCCAGCCUUGGCCUCAGGUUGUCCCACACUGAGUUCAGACAGGGAUGGGCCUGAGUGCGCGAGCCAUGAGCCUCUGGCACAGAGUGAGGGCUCUGUGGUCAAGAGCACGGACUCUGGAGGCUGAUGUUGGCCUUUGAAUUCUGCCCCACCACUUACUAGCUGUGUGACCUUUGGCAAAUUUCUACACCUGUGACCCUUAGUUUUCU
rnacentral:lncRNA from 1 species